rnacentral:misc_RNA from 1 species
ACACCCUACUGCUGUGGACAUGCGGAUGCAUGUGUGCAGUGGUGACGUGGGCUACAAGAGCGAAAGCGCUUUGGCCGUAAAUGUAGCGAUGGAUGAUGGAGCUUGCCGAGUGUGAGUCCCCUUUGCAACAAGAGCAGUAUGCCUUGCGAACAAAGAGGCGAACGUUUGGCGGAGCCAUCGACAAGUCUAUCGACGAAUGUGUGCGCGUCACGCACGUACACACACACUACCUAA